AGUGAACGCUGGCGGUAGGCCUAACACAUGCAAGUCGAACGGCAGCACCGUACGAGCUUGCUCUUACGGGUGGCGAGUGGCGGACGGGUGAGGAAUACAUCGGAAUCUUCUUUUUCGUGGGGGAUAACGUAGGGAAACUUACGCUCAUACCGCAUACGACCUACGGGUGAAAGCAGGGGAUCUUCGGACCUUGCGCGAUUGAAUGAGCCGAUGUCGGAUUAGCUAGUUGGCGGGGUAAAGGCCCACCAAGGCGACGAUCCGUAGCUGGUCUGAGAGGAUGAUCGGCCACACUGGAACUGAGACACGGUCCAGACGCCUACGGGAGGCAGCAGUGGGGAAUAUUGGACAAUGGGCGCAAGCCUGAUCCAGCCAUACCGCGUGGGUGAAGAAGGCCUUCGGGUUGUAAAGCCCUUUUGUUGGGAAAGAAAAGCAGCAGGUUAAUACCCCGCUGUUCUGACGGUACCCAAAGAAUAAGCACCGGCUAACUUCGUG
rnacentral:rRNA from 1 species